CCCCCAGCUCGGUCUCCAUAGCGCGCUGCACCUUAAGCGCUGGACCUCCCUUCAACACUCUGUCGCGCCCUACCUCUCUGCCCAACCCCACGACCACCUGUACCCUCCGAACAAUGUCGGAACGUCUCCUCAUGGCCGGUGCGGCGGAAUCGGUGUUCACCCGGGGGUGGAGCUCGCGGCAUGGCCGCCAUUGCCGCUGGGCAUAGAAAUUGGACCUCGCUACUUCACAAUAGUCGGUAAAUCCUGCACUGUCGUGUUCGCCAUGUCCCCAGCCUCGUAUUACAUCAACCAAUUUCGUGAAUCGGGCACUUGGCGUCGUACCAGGGGGGGUGCUCGCUGGCUUUCUCUGCCACGAGCGUAUUACCGUGGCCGCCUUCGGCCGGCGUGGGGAGGAAGAACUGGGUGGACCGUUGGAUGAAUAGUGGAUGACCCAGAUUGGAACCGCGUGUACCCCUUCGACUAGGAUUAAUCUGGGUCGUCGAUCCGUACGCCAGCGGUUUGGAUCUAAUCUAACGCGUAUUGUUUCGUUGAUCGGGUGCUGACCCUCGGAUUCGGAUCGGGUGGUCUGAGUGCUCAGGCGGCCGCGAUCUAAUCUAGAUGGUUGGAUCAGAUCGGGCGGCUGAGAUUGAAGCGUACCCCUUCGGCUGGGAUUUUAUGCAAAGGAGCCCCCGCAAAAUCCCAUAACCAACCCGCCAUCCGCGCAGUGAGAAUAUGAGUCUUGGAGAAAUAUACAAAUUAGCCCCUGCACUUCUUUGAUUUUGGCGCGCAGUCCAGAGGGAGAGAAAAAUAGAGAAAUAAAUAGGGAAAUUGAUUUUUAGUACAAAAAUAAAUUCAUAAACUUGUUUAAUUCAUAUUUAAUUCAUUCUAACUCCGAAUUAACCCAUUCCAGUUCCUAUAAUUUUGUAAUAUUAUUGUUUAUCAUUUAGUGCCACUGUUUUGACAUAAAAGGCACCUUAAAAUUGUUAUCUUAAUUAAUCUUGAACAAAGCACAUAAAAUCUUUAGAAAUCCAUAACUUAAAAUCUAUAACUCCAAAAUUAAUAAUUCCUGUUCCUGUGAUCUUAUUUUAAUGUCUAGAUUAUUACUGUGUAUUUUAUUUACAUGCUUGGUGUAAUGUUAAUUUUGCCUAUACCAUGUUUGUUUGUAUUGCUACGACUAGAGCGAGGAUACGUGUCAUCUGAAAAGCAAGUUGGUACCUGGAUUCUCAAGUCCCAGGCAAGUUGUGCCCUUGAUCACUUCUUUUUACCCACUCAUGUUCUAAUUAAUCAUAAUGAUCUGCAUAGGUUAAUUUUGAUGGGACCCAAUAGGUUACCCUAGUUUGAUUAUCUUUAUACCUUGUUUACCACUGAACUUUUUGGGUAGUACUUGCUAGUGCUUUAUGUGGUUUUGGGUAUGAAGAUACAUUAUUCAUGAUCACGCUUUUAUUAUCUGUUUAUUAUCACUGUUCAUGAUAAGAUCAUUAUGUUAAUUGGAACAUGGAGCGACCACCCGGGAAAACAGUGCUACCACAAGGGUUUAAUGGGACGCCCUUGGCUGAUUAAUUAGGAAAGCUAGUGGAGGACUACCUUACCCGAAAGGGGCAAGGGCAGUAGGGGAGUGGUCAGUGUAGGGAGGCCCUCGGGAGGAUUUUGCUGCGAUGGCGGUCCUGCAAGGGAUUCCUGCAUUGGAGCUUCCUAUAAACUGUAGCGGGUUUUCUGAAGCUAGUGGAACUUUGUAAAGGCCUCGUAGUGUUACCCUGCCUCGCCUCCUCGGUAGAGGUGUAUGGGAAGUCGCGAUCCCUUGGCAGAUGGGUAACAUGACUUGUGGGUAAAGAUGCGCAACCUCUGCAGAGUGUAAAACUGGUAUACUAGCCGUGCUCACGGUCAUGAGCAGCUCGGACCCUCACAUGAUUAAUUUAUGGAACUUAAAUUCAAUUUGUCAUAUGCAUUGCAUCGCAGGUGAUGUUGUUACUUCUGUUCUACUAUUUAAUUGGGUUGGUAUUUACUUAUACUUAGUAAUUGCUAAUAAAAUUUUGACCAACUUUAAAAGCAAUGCUCAGCUCUAACCAUCCGCUUUGGUAAGCCUUACACUUCACGUGAGCUCCCACCUUUGGCGAGUUCAUGCACAUUAUUCCCCACAACUUGUUGAGCGAUGAACGUAUGUGAGCUCACUCUUGCUGUCUCACACCCCCCACAGGUCAAGAACAGGUACCGCAGGAUGAGGCGCUUGGAGGAUGCUGCGAUGAGUUCGUAAGAGAGAUCUAGGCCGUCGUCUCCCAGUCAACUUUGGGUUGCUGGACCGUUGUCUCCUUAUAAUGUAAUUAUUUAUUUUGUAUAGAAU
rnacentral:lncRNA from 1 species